GCCAGGUGUGGUGGCACACACCUGUAACCCCAGCAACUUGGGAGGAUGAGGCAGGAGGAUCACUAGUUCAAAGCCACUAGUUAGCAGUGGUGAGGUGCUAAGCAACUUGGUGAGACCAUGUCUCUA
rnacentral:sRNA from 1 species